CGGGCUUUUGACAUAGAUUGUCAAGAUUGUUUCAAUUAUACACUUGCAGUUAUUGAGGCUGAGAGAGGUGAAGCACCUUGCCUAAGGUCAUACAGCCAGUGUUCGAGCCCAGGUUUGAGACUUAAAUACCUCUCUACUAAAAGGGAAAUGGAGAAAAAGAUGCUGACUGCCAGGCUGGUUUCGGAUCCUUUGUAUUCUGUCAGAUGAGAACACUUGUUUACCUUCCAGGACUGACCUGAGCAUGAGGCCACUAAAUGGAUAGAACUUUUAAGACUGAUGAUUGGCUCCAGAGAUGCACAAAAACAGCAGGAUGGGUGCAUCAAUCAGGACAGGUACCAAAUCUACACUGAAAUCUGUGGCCUAUCUCAACAGUUUAUUUCUCACUCAUGGGAUACCUAAAGCAGGUUGGCAAGAGACUCAGGAACUACCUAAAUGUCAGCUCCACUUUGGCCUGGGAAAUAGGAGCACAGAGAAUCACCCAACAGCUUUUAAAAACAUCACUAACUCAAAUGGCCAGACCUAGUGUUGUUUCUCACAGCACUGUAAGGGUGCCAGGAAACGUGGGGUGAGUAUUUGGGUAUUUGCUCACCAAAUAUCCCUCUUUCCUCCUUCCACACACAACAUACCUUCUACCC
rnacentral:lncRNA from 1 species